rnacentral:rRNA from 1 species
CAGCCGCCGCGGUAAAACGGAGGGUGCAAGCGUUAAUCGGAAUUACUGGGCGUAAAGCGCACGCAGGCGGUCUGUCAAGUCAGAUGUGAAAUCCCCGGGCUUAACCUGGGAACUGCAUUUGAAACUGGCAGGCUAGAGUCUUGUAGAGGGGGGUAGAAUUCCAGGUGUAGCGGUGAAAUGCGUAGAGAUCUGGAGGAAUACCGGUGGCGAAGGCGGCCCCCUGGGCCUGUACUGACGCUCAUGCACGAAAGCGUGGGGAGCAAACAGGAUUAGAUACCCCUGUAGUCCCUGUCUCUUAUAC